AUGAGCGGUCACUACCUCGUGUUUGAUCCGACGGUGUCGCAGCACUACGAGGUGCUCUCGGUCCCGGACAUACCAUGGAGCCUUCCGACGGGGCACAUUUCCAAGCAUGCGUGCGAGGAUAAGCCGGUGUCCGAGAUGGAGUGGCCGCCUUCGCCGUACGUCGUGGAUGUCUUCUCCUCAUGGACCGGUGAGUGGAAGGAGAGGUCGUUUGUUCGGGAAGGGAUGGCCGCGGGAACGGUCGCCGGUUGUAGGUCGAAGGAAAGACGCAUAUUGCGUUACGCUGCUUACUGGCGUGGAGCACUCUACGUCUCUUGCGAAGACGAUUUUGUUUUGAGAAUGAACUUGUCAAAUGAUAAAUACCAAGUAAUUCAGUGCCCUCAAGGAAAGAAGCUAGCGUCUUAUGCACCUCGUCUCGGCAAAUCCAAGAAGGGUGUCUAUUGCGCAUUCCGUGUUGCACGUGAUGCAUUCCAGCUAUGGUUCCUUAACGAGACGUAUGGAAAGAUGGACUGGGUGUUGAACAAUGACAUCAACUUUGAGCAUGUUCCUAAAUGCCCUUGUAACUUUGCUGGGGGAUCCUGGAUCUUACAAGCGACAGUGACGAAGAGCUAG
rnacentral:rRNA from 1 species